rnacentral:rRNA from 1 species
AGUGAACGCUGGCGGUAGGCCUAACACAUGCAAUUCGAACGGCAGCACAGAGGAGCUUGCUCCUUGGGUGGCGAGUGGCGAACGGGUGAGUAAUGCAUCGGAACGUACCCGGCAGUGAGGGAUAACGUAGCGAAAGUUACGCUAAUACCGCAUAUUCUGUGAGCAGGAAAGAGGGGGAUCGUAAGACCUCUCGCUUUCGGAGCGGCCGAUGUCGGAUUAGCUAGUUGGUGGGGUAAAGUCCAACCAAGGCGACGAUCCGUAGCGGGUCUGAGAGGAUGAUCCGCCAGACUGGAAUUGAGACACGGUCCAGACUCCUACGGGAGGCAGCAGUGGGGAAUUUUGGACAAUGGGCGAAAGCCUGAUCCAGCCAUGCCGCGUGAGUGAAGAAGGCCUUCGGGUUGUAAAGCUCUUUCGGCUGAAAAGAAAUCGCACAGGCUAAUAUCUUGUGUGGAUGACGGUAUCAGCAUAAGAAGCACCGGCUACCUACGUGCAAGCCGCCGCCGUAA